UUGCUUCAGCAGUACACAUACUAAAAUUGGAACAAUACAGAGCAGAUCAGCAUGGUCCGUAUGCAAGGAUGACAGCAAAUUUGUGAGGUGUUCCAUAUUUUU